rnacentral:rRNA from 1 species
GAUGAACGCUGGCGGCGUGCCUAAUACAUGCAAGUCGAGCGAACAGAUGAGGAGCUUGCUCCUCUGACGUUAGCGGCGGACGGGUGAGUAACACGUGGAUAACCUACCUAUAAGACUGGGAUAACUUCGGGAAACCGGAGCUAAUACCGGAUAAUAUAUUGAACCGCAGGGUUCAAUAGUGAAAGACGGUUUUGCUGUCACUUAUAGAUGGAUCUGCGCCGCAUUAGCUAGUUGGUAAGGUAACGGCUUACCAAGGCAACGAUGCGUAGCCGACCUGAGAGGGUGAUCGGCCACCCUGGAGCUGGGACAGGGUCCAGACUCCUACGGGAGGCAGCAGUAGGGAAUCUUCCGCAAUGGGCGGAAGCCUGACGGAGCAACGCCGCGUGAGUUGUGAAGGUCUUCGGAUCGUAAAACUCUGUUAUUAGGGAAGAACAAAUGUGUAAGUAACUAUGCACGUCUUGACGGUACCUAAUCAGAAAGCCACGGCUAACUACGUG